rnacentral:rRNA from 1 species
UACGGGGGGUGCAAGCGUUGUUCGGAUUGAUUGGGCGUAAAGCGCACGUAGGCGGGUUUGUAAGUCGGGUGUGAAAUCCCCAAGCUUAACUUGGGAACUGCAUUCGAGACUGCAUAGCUAGAGUAUGGGAGAGGGAAGUGGAAUUUCAGGUGUAGCGGUGAAAUGCGUAGAUAUCUGAAGGAACAUCAGUGGCGAAAGCGACUUCCUGGACCAAUACUGACGCUCAUGUGCGAAAGCGUGGGGAGCAAACAGG